rnacentral:misc_RNA from 1 species
UACGGAGGGUGCAAGCGUUGUCCGGAAUCACUGGGUGUAAAGGGUGUGUAGGCGGACCUGCAAGUCAGAGGUGAAAUCCCGCAGCCUAACUGCGGAACUGCCCCUGAUACUGCAGGUCUUGAGUCCUGGAGAGGUCGCUGGAAUUCGUGGUGUAGCGGUGAAAUGCGUAGAUAUCACGAGGAACGCCUGAGACGAAGGUGGGCGACUGGACAGGUACUGACGCUGAGGCACGAAAGCGUGGGGAGCAAACAGG